UUUUUAGAAUAAGUAUGUCACAGGCAAUAUUUGGGAAAUAAUUAUACUAAAA
rnacentral:pre_miRNA from 1 species